rnacentral:rRNA from 1 species
AUUGAACGCUGGCGGCAUGCCUGACACAUGCAAGUCGAACGGUAGCAGGUCUUCUGAUGCUGACUAGUGCCGAACGCGGGAGUAUUACAUCUAAACGUCCGCCUGCUAGUGGGGGAACACGUCCGGAACUGUGCUAUUAUACCACACGAGCUACGGAUGAGAACGGGGGGGCUUCUCGCCUCUCACGCUCUGAGCUGCGGAUGGCAGAUUAGGUAGUUGGUGGGAUAAAAGCGUACCAAGCCGACGAUCUGUAUCUGGUCUGAGAGGAUGAUCAGUCACACUGGAACUGAGACACGGCCCAGACUCCUACGGGAGGCAGCAGUGGGAAAUUUUGGACAAUGGGCGAAAGCCUGAUCCAGCCAUGCCGCGUGUAGGAUGAAGGUCUUCGGAUUGUAAACUGCUUUUGGAUGGAACGAAAAGCAUCUUUUUAAUAACGAGAGGUUAUGACGGUACCGUCAGAAUAAGCACCGGCUAACUACGUG